AUUGAACGCUGGCGGCAGGCCUAACACAUGCAAGUCGAGCGAGUGGCGGACGGGUGAGUAAUGCAUGGGAACCUGCCCGAUAGAGGGGGAUAACUACUGGAAACUGCGGCUAAUACCGCAUACAAUCGGAGCAUCCCAUAUGGGAUUAGCUGGUUGGUGUGGUAAAGGCUCACCAAGGCGACGAUCUAUAGCUGGUCUGAGAGGAUGAUCAGCAACACUGGGACUGGGAGACGGAGCAGAAUCCGACGUGAGGCAGCAGUGGGGAAUAGUGCGCAAUGGGCGCAAACCUGAAGCAGCCAUGCCGGGUGAAUGAAGAAGAGCUUAGGGUUGUAAAGUACUUUCAGCGACGAGGCGUUACCCGCAGAAGAAGCACCGGCUAACUCCGUGCCAGCAGCCGCGGUAAUUC
rnacentral:rRNA from 1 species